AGAAUGUUAAUAAAUGAUACCUGUGUGAAUAACCUCCUGACCACUGUUGGUUUCUGAGUUCCUAUCGGUCUUGGCUAUCGUCUCUGUCAGUCUUGGAGGAUGGAAGGAAAGUUCACAAACGCUGAUAUCAACUAAUUCUAGAGAAAGAAGACGAUCCUCAUGAAGGAAGGUAGUCUGCAGACCACGCUCCAGGGAAGACUAGUACAAGAACGUGAGGAAGUGUGUCUGCAGUGACUCUGCCACGUCCAUCUGCCUUAGCAGUCCCCAUCCCCAGCAACAGCAGUGGCUGACACUCCCUGCUAAUCAGAACGAGAUCUCGCCUC